GGGGGAUAACGUCCGGAAACGGGCGCUAAUACCGCAUACGUCCUGAGGGAGAAAGUGGGGGAUCUUCGGACCUCACGCUAUCAGAUGAGCCUAGGUCGGAUUAGCUAGUUGGUGGGGUAAAGGCCUACCAAGGCGACGAUCCGUAACUGGUCUGAGAGGAUGAUCAGUCACACUGGAACUGAGACACGGUCCAGACUCCUACGGGAGGCAGCAGUGGGGAAUAUUGGACAAUGGGCGAAAGCCUGAUCCAGCCAUGCCGCGUGUGUGAAGAAGGUCUUCGGAUUGUAAAGCACUUUAAGUUGGGAGGAAGGGCAGUAAGUUAAUACCUUGCUGUUUUGACGUUACCAACAGAAUAAGCACCGGCUAACUUCGUGCCAGCAGCCGCGGUAAUACGAAGGGUGCAAGCGUUAAUCGGAAUUACUGGGCGUAAAGCGCGCGUAGGUGGUUCAGCAAGUUGGAUGUGAAAUCCCCGGGCUCAACCUGGGAACUGCAUCCAAAACUACUGAGCUAGAGUACGGUAGAGGGUGGUGGAAUUUCCUGUGUAGCGGUGAAAUGCGUAGAUAUAGGAAGGAACACCAGUGGCGAAGGCGACCACCUGGACUGAUACUGACACUGAGGUGCGAAAGCGUGGGGAGCAAACAGG
rnacentral:rRNA from 1 species